GUGGAUUAGAUACCCUGGUAGUCCGCACAGUAAACGAUGAAUGCUGGUUCUUGGCGAUAUACAGUCAGGAACUGAGGGAAACCAUUAAGCAUUCCACCUGGGGAGUACGCCGGCAACGGUGAAACUCAAAGGAAUUGACGGGGGCCCGCACAAGCGGAGGAACAUGUGGUUUAAUUCGAUGAUACGCGAGGAACCUUACCCGGGCUUGAAUUGCAGCUGCAUGGUUCAGAGAUGGACCUUCCCUUCGGGG
rnacentral:rRNA from 1 species